AUACACUUUCUCUAGUUCAAAUAAAAAAACAAAAUAAAUUUCACUUCAAUUUCAAACAAUUGCCAAGGUUAUUAUAGCACAGUAGCGCAGCAAAAUGUCGUGAUUACAGGGUGUUCACGUUUUUGCACGCGCUGUCAAAAUUCGCGUUGAAAACGAUAUGCAUACAAGUGUGUUGUGGAACCAUCCCUUUUCUGAUUAACAUUUCGAUUGUUCGUGAUGAUGAAACCAACGCUAAACGGAGUGUAAUACAACAGCGUUGAUAAGCAAACCCCUCCUGGAAGUUGGAAAGUGCUGACAAAUCUUGAUACCCAGCUUAUGAAACGCUAAGCUAUGUCUAGCAGCGAUCUUUCAACGAAAGAAGCUAUUAAACGCUCCCUUCCCGGCGUAAAGCAAUGGUGUGAAUGCUGCCUAUUGGCAUGGAAACAAACGUUAAGCGAAUACUCCACACCGAUAAUGAGCAGCAGCCUUUGCGAUUGGGAUAGUUGAUCAUUCACGCACCUGGUUGUUAGUUGGUGCGGUAGUGACGUCGUGGAAGAAAAUAUCAGGAAUCACGCCGCUUUGGUUUGUAUGAGGAAAAGUAAAGGGUUGGUAAGAACUGUGAUAUUAGGAAGUAGUUGCUCUGGAUGAUAAAUGUUCCAAAGUAACGAAUCACCGGCUAUCGCACAGUAUUUGAAGCAGCUUUGUGAAGAAACGAUUGUGAGACAGUUCGAUAAUGGCACCGAUAUCUAUUGAUCAGGCCAACUAUCGAAACCGGUCAGUAAUUUUAUGUUUUAAAUUUAAGUUGAACGGCGUCGUCGUUUCAACAUUAACGACAAAAUCAAGGAACUGGGUACACUGCUGCCUAAAAACAUGGAAGGAUCAAGUAGUGAGCUAAACGGCAAAGAUGGACGUGUAAAUAAGGGAACCAUUUUAAAA